rnacentral:rRNA from 1 species
AGAGUUUGAUCCUGGCUCAGGACGAACGCUGGCGGUGUGCUUCACACAUGCAAGUCGAGCGAAUGAAGUAGGUAGCUUGCUACUUAUGGAUUUAGCGGCGGACGGGUGAGUAAUAUAUAGGAAUCUGCCUUAGAGCGGGGAACAACAGACCGAAAGGUUUGCUAAUGCCCCAUAGGUACGCAGUCUUCGGAUUGUUUAUUAAAGGAGUAAUCCACUCUAGGAUGAGCCUGUAUCCGAUUAGCUAGUUGGCGGGGUAAAGGCCCACCAAGGCUACGAUCGGUAGUUGGUCUGAGAGGAUGAUCAGCCACAAUGGGACUGAGACACGGCCCAUACUCCUACGGGAGGCAGCAGUGGGGAAUUUUACACAAUGGGGGAAACCCUGAUGUAGCGACACCGCGUGAACGAAGAAGCCUUUUGGGGUGUAAAGUUCUGUCGGCUGGAACGAAAAAAAUGACGGUACCAGCAAAGGAAGCAUCGGCUAACUACGUGCCAGCAGCCGCGGUAAGACGUAGGAUGCAAGCGUUGUCCGGAUUUAUUGGGCGUAAAGAGUUCGUAGGCGGUUAUUUAAGUCUGGUGUUAAAUACUGUGGCCCAACCACAGAACUGCAUUGGAUACUGGAUGACUUGAGUGCGGUAGAGGCGAGUGGAAUUCCCAGUGUAGCGGUGAAAUGCGUAGA